rnacentral:lncRNA from 1 species
GUGGGGUGCCCUGUGUUUGGGACACUAAAGGGCUCAGCUGCUAAUGGAGGAGACCCGCAACUGGGAGGCUUGAGAGUGGUCACCCUAGGAGCAGAAGAGGGUCUUCUGGAUGUCUGGCAGUUUCAGAUCGCCUCGUCCACAGAGUGGGGAGAAAUUUGCAGUCAGAAAACAAAGCUGUCAUGUUUAUCCAUUUUUCGAGUGAAGCCCAGAGAAAUGUGGGUGUGGCCUCGAGCACUGGUCAUUAAAAGUGAGUGAGAGCC